CAGUGUGGGAGAUGAUCCUUGGCUUGGUUAAUAAGAAAGGAAUAAUCUUCAGGCUCAAAAGGGCUAGCAAGGGACAAAUUUCUACAUUUUUGCAAGGGUAGUUGAAAAAUAGCCUUUCUUCAUUUUGAUUUCCAUCCUUACCUCAAUUAGAAAGGAAUGUUAAAGGCCCCAACCCUGAUGUAUAUUUUGGUUAACUAACUUAAGAACAAGAAGUAAACUUAUAACUUUAAGCUCAAAGGGUUAGCAAAGGAUAAUUUUAAGUAUGCAUAGACUAUAUAUGAGGAAAUUGAUUGACCAACUGAUGACCACAUAUCAUUUGAUCGCAACUCCAAUUGUGGUGUUAUUUCAUGCAUCACCGUGAUAGAAUGAAAUAUUCACCAAGCUAAUACCUUUUCAAUGUGAACUAUUAGAAGGUAUGGUGAUGGCUGUGUAGGCUGCUAUAUUGAUUGAUGGUCAUGCUUGGGAUAUUGAAGGCCAAUGUCUAAAAAAGAUAGUCUAUGUCCCAGUUUGAUUGCCUUUGUUAGUGUUUUUAGAGCACAGAUGAUAACUUCUGCCUUGUAGAUCGAGAAAAGGUAGCUUCCCUAGUGUAGGGAUCAUGAUCCUUGACUAGGGUGAUUUGAAAAAAAAUAUUUCUAGGCUUAAAAUGGGUUAACAAAGGGUAUCUUAUGAUAUAAAAUGGUAUCCAGAAACAUUCUGGAUUCUGCCCCCUUUCUUCUUCUUCUUUGUUUCUCUUCUCCUUAUCUUCUUCUCCUCUUCUAUUUCUCUCCCCAUAAUUCCCUUAGUUCUCUCAGUUCUCUUUCCUUUCUCGUUUGCUGAUCUGAACUCUCUCUUUUCUAUUCUGAUUCUCUGUUCUUCUUCCUCUUUCCUCCUUCUCCCUUCUUCCAUCUUCUUCUCUGCUGUCUUCUUCAUUCCAUGCUUCUCCCUCUCUCCUAUCUCUCUCUGAUUCAAACUACUGGUUUUCUGAUAUGAAAAUCCAGUAUUGGAAAAGAAAAAAAAAAAAACCCACUGAAAAGCAGUUUCUGAGAUUUUCUGAAAUUCCCGCUGUGUCCCCAUUUUUUGAAGAACACUACCUGGAUACAAUUGUGCAGCACCACCCACACCCACACCCACAAAAACAGAACUCUCCGAAACCCUAGCCCCUAAAAUUUCUCUGCCAUCUGACCACAAGAGGAGCCCCUUGCACUGGCCAAACUUCUCUAGCCACUGACCCCUUGAAGAUCCACCCUUGCUGGAGUUAUUUUGAGUCUUUGACACACAACCACCAUCACUGUAUUCCCUGCCCCCUGAACUACUCUUGCCUAAAAAAUCAUUGCCGAAAAACCAUCGUCGGCGUUGCACAUGGCCCAUGCACCGGCAACCUGCUACUAUGAAACUUCCAGUGUUUAGCAGUUUCCAAUCUCGCAAAAAAUUGCUUCAGCUAGAGGUUUUGGGUUUUCUCCAUGAUGUUUUGAUCUGCAAGGAGAUAUUUUGAUUGUGGACACAAUAUAUUGCAAACAAGCGCGAUAAUUUGGCAUGAAACCCUAGAAAUUGUGACUCCAGCAUUAAAAAUCAGGUUUUGUUUAAUUUUUGAGUUUUCUUUGUGAUUUGAUUUUGAUUUUUUUUUCAUUUCAGUACGACAUUCAAUACCCAAGGUGAGUUGAAGAUAGUUUUUGAGGAUUUGGGAGUAAGGUUUGUGGGAAAUUGUGUUAAAGGGCUGUUGGUGAUAUAAAGCUGCAGCAUAUAUAUGUAUACAAUUGAGCAACCAUGGUGACAAAUUAUGGGAAGGAGGAAUGCCAUUUGCCAAACAUUGGGCACAAUUUCAGGCUUUUCAACACCUCUCUCAAAUGUAGAGAAAAGGUUUGCAAAAUCAUCAUUGAUGGAAGAUGUACAAUGAAUGUGGUUUCCAUAAAUGGAGUCUCGCUUGAAUGCAGCUUCAUCGAGAACCUCACCCUGAGCCUUAUGUGAUAUCUUAGUUGGUGGACUUGAUAUAUAUGGAUGAACACCAACUUGACCUAAAAGCUUAAGUCUAAUAAGUAUUGGGCCCAACCAUAUAUAUAAGCAUCCAUUCUUUACUCUAUUUUUUUCGAUGUGGGACAAACUCAUAGGUGGAAUUCUCAACAAUCUCCCCCUUGUGAUUUCCAGCCAACUCUCCCUUGAAAGGAAGCCAUUAUUUGUCAUGCAACCAUCUAGGAGACAUUACUCAACCAUGGGAGUUUAGUCAACACCGCUCCUCUUCCACAUGUCUACAUCCAUAGGAACACAUGCAUGAACACUCAAUCCCAUUCGAACUCUUCCGUUUGAGCGGAAAUCAUCUCCCUCAUGAGAGCAAGCCCAAUUGUCCAAUAGUUGUUCAAGUGGGUCUUACCCCCGCACGCUAUGUGCCUCAGAUUGCAUUCCACGUGUCUCUAAAUCAGUCCUACCUCCCAUAUCUUGAAUCUAGUUGGAUCCAUCUACCAAGGUUAGAUGAUCUUUAUUGGCCGAGGUCAUACACUUGGUCCUCCAACCGUUAGCAUGUUAGGAGUUUGAUAUGCAUGGAUGAAUACCAACAUGACCCAAAAGCUCAAGCCUAUGAGGUCUUAGGCCCCACUAGGCAUAUAAGCACCUAUCCUUCACUUUAUUUUUCCAAUGUGGGACAAAUGAACAAGUGAAAUUCUCAACAAUUCCUAUCCAAAUGGGUGAAUAUUUGGCUAAUGUUUGGUGUGAUAUUAUGCCUAUGAAGAUUGACCAUGUACUCCUUGGUUCUCCUUAGUUGGAUGAUUUGGAUGUGACUCAAGGACAUGAGAACUCAUAUGUCUUCCACUAUAAUGGAAAGAAAAUCAUUUUUCAAGCUUGCUAUACCAACCAACCAGAACAAAGAAUUUGAGAUUAUUGAUCACGUCAAAGUUACUCAACUUGAAGAUACUACAUGGAAGGCAAUGAAUGUGUUUGAACACAUCCAAAGUCCGUCAAACAUUCCUAUUGUAGAGUUUGUCAUCCCGGAUGAGUUCAUUGAUGCUAAUUCUCAAAUCAAGUUUAUGGUGCUGCCACCCCCAGGGUGUGGUUCAGUUGGUAGUGCGGGCUGCGGGAGUGCUUCUCACGAGAUCAGGUGUUCAAACCCUCCCGAGCUCGUUUCCGCCCCUGGACGCCUGAAUUUACCCUCCCUUUGGAGUUGUGGGGUCAACUUCAAGGGGCACAGGAUUAGUCAUCAGGAUUAGUCAUGUGGACCGUAAAACGGACACAUGGAUAUUCGGUGCGUAAUCCAAAAAAAAAAAAAAGUUUAUGGUGCUGUAAAUGGAAUGCAGUUUCUUGUCUUAUUCAAGCGUUGGCUUUUGAAGAGUCCAAGUUCUCGUCCCUUUUGAUCCUCCAACAUUUCAAAAUUUGCGGCCGAAUUUUUUCUAAUUAGGGGAGAGUUGAUGAAGGACAAGAAGCAAGACCUUGGGAAUAUCCUCGCUGGAAAAAAAGUAAGAAGAGUUGGGUCAAGGAAUUGUUAGGUUUAAUUAGUAGUUUAUUAUGUGUUUAGUUUAACGAGUAUGGUAUUAUGUGUAUUUUGUGGGCUUGUUUGUAGUAUUUGUGUAUUCUAAGGGUAUGUUUGUAAUGUAAUUUGGUUUGAGGGGUUUGUGUGUAAUUUCACGUGUAGAGGCUUUUCUUAUAAGUAGUGAGUGAAAGCCAUGUUGUAGGCAGUUGAUGAAUUUGAAUUGAAUUUAACGUGAGUUUUCCCCCUGGUUUCUCCUCUCUCCCUUCCCUUUCCUUCCCCUCUUCUAAUUUCUCCAUGGCUGCAAACCUAUGUUUGUGAAGAUCUGUUAACUGAAAGAAAUGAGGAUACACAAGAGCCAAUCCAAUGGUGCCUCCCCAUCAAAAGUCCUCCCAAAAAUGAAUUCUCUCAUUACAAACUUUAUAUUGCACAUUAGGAAAAGGAGAAUGAUAGGUCUGAAAAACUUCUAAGGGCUUGAACAAGUAAUAUAUCUGAUACCCACAGUUGUGCUAUACAACAGGGCCCAUGUCAUAGACCUGUGUCAUUAAGCAUUUUCCGACAUACCAACUCUAGCAUCCCACCUGUGUUGUAGCAGACAAUUUAUUGUGUAUUACCUUAUGUCAAAAAGAAUUAGGUUCUAAAAAAAUGCGCUCUAACUACGUCCCCACCAAAGAGAUGUUUUUGGAUGUCACAUUCCCUAUAUCCAAGCCUCAUGGAUCUACGCACUGUGAUCGUUCUCUAACUCACUGACCACCAUUUGACCACAGAAAAUCCCUCAUCAACUUCUUUAACCUCCAUGCUACUCACAAAAAUUCUGAAAAGGGAAAGAUAAUUAGAACAGAUGGAAGACCGACAAGCAUGAAUAAGAGUAAUUCGUUACCCUAAGGUGAAGAGCACUCUUUUCCACCCAUCCAAUCCCCUAACCACUCUCUUAAAGGCUGGCUCUCAAAGUGAGUGAGCUGUUGUAAGAAACAACCCAAAUUCUCCAAAAGUAUAAUAAUAUCAUAUUGGAUGUGGUCUGAUCCUCAUGCCUACCUCAAUUCCUUGCACCUAACUUUUUCAACUCUUCUAGCAAAAUCAUCCUACUCAUGGCAUUAUCCACAACGGUGAGAAGAAAAGGAGAAUGGGAAUAUUCCUGUUCAAGACCCUUGGCUGCAAAAAAACUAAGAUUUAGCCUCACCUUUCACUUAGACUGAAAAAACACAGAAGGUAAACAACUUUGAAUACAUUUCGUCCACCUCAAACCAAAAAGUUUUGUAUCCGUUACCUUGUCCAAGAAACUCCAGCUCUCCCUAUCAUAAACAUUCUCAAAGUCCAAUUUCAACACUAGGUUCGUCUUUUUCCUUGGAACUGCAUUCUCAACCACCUCAUUCACUAUCAAAACUGCAUCAAGAAUCUGUUCGUCACCCAUAAAGUGCUCUAAGAGAAAUAGUACCCUCCAGGGCUGCAGUCAAAUCUCUUGGAUAACACUUGAGUCUUGUGCACCCUAGUUAUGAAGCUAAUUGGCCUAAAAUCCUUUACUCUGACCACACAAUCUCUUUUAGGCACCAGGGUAAUAAAAGUAGAAUUCAUACUCCUUAUCACUCCAUUGUCAAAAAAGUCAUGAAGGCUAUUCCAGGAAAUUCCCAGGGAAAUGGAGAAAGUAAGAAAAAAGAUGUGUAUUUGAUGAAAUAUGGUAUGCUACAUCAUGAAGGAUGACACAUUUUUGCCUUCCAGUUCAUCAUUAUUCAGGAAUUUAGAUCAACAAAGCUUUGUAUCUAUUGAAACACAUCAUGCUUUACCUCUUUCAGGCAAACAUUGUAACAGUUUCAGACGGGUAUGGAUAGGAGAAGGCCUUUUGUUCAUAUAAGCAUCAUAAGCUGACUGCUUGGAUGAGGGAGAUGCUUACUACUUUUCUUUCCUCUUGGUAUGCUGGCAUGCAGUCUGAACAUUAAAUGGUGAGAUAAGUUCAAAAUACAAACUUGAGCAAAACUACUUGUUGACGUUACUACACACAGAAGCCUGAUUAAGGAAUUAAAUUCUGAGGUGUGUCAGAUAUGAAAAAUUAUAAGCAUGUUAUAAACAUGAAAUGCUGCGCUCCCAUUGUCCCCAUUGCUACACAUCUUAUUGUGCACAAUCAAGAUGGUGUCAAAAGUUUGUUAUCACUGUAAGCAAACAAUGAUCCAACCAUAGGUUGCGAACUUACAUUUGGAAAAUUGCGUGACCAUUUAAUAGCCAAUGUCAGGUAUUGGAAUUCUGCAGCAUAGUAGUAGCUGAUUCAAGAGGUAAGUGCAAGAAUUUUGGGAGAAGUAUUUGGAUUUUAUUGUUAUGAAUAAUUUCAGGGGGGAUCUCAAUUGAAAAUUUCAACAAGGUUCUGGCGUAGGGGUGUUCUGUGAAAUUUAGCUUUUCUAUUCUCCCUGUUGUCUCUGCAGCACAGGAAGAUAGUCUCUUGAAGCCCCUCAUUGUUUCCAUCUUCUUUGCAACACGGGGUACUCGCAUGUUCUUUGCAUCACGUGAAGGAACUCUGUUGGUGUUUGCAGAAGACCUAGCAACACAAAACCCCAGGCAAUGCAUGUAGGGAACUUAGGAAAGAAAACAUGACAUUCAUCUGCAGCCGACAAUUUCCAGAUGGCAGGUGAUUCCUCCUUCUCCAACCUCUAUUCUUCCAUGGACCACACCAACCUAAACUCCAGCAUGACCUUUUCAACGCCACUCUACAUCUUGAGCAAACACAUCUUUGUGAAGGGUUCAAAGAGGACUAUGGAGAUGGCUUAGCCUCUGGCAAAGAAGAACGAAGACAAAUAGACCUUAAAUUAGGGUUUGAAACUGGGGAGGAGCCAGGGUUUUACCAAUGUUGUGUUAAUAUCUGGACUUCCACGACCGAGAUUGACCCAAUCCGAUUCUCUGCAAGGGUCCAGAAGAGCAUCAAAUAGAUGGAUGAGUUGAUCCAAGAGUAUCGAGAUUUUGGAGUCUUUGAGGUUGAAAUUUAGGGCUAUUUGUGUCACGUUGUUCGUAAAAUUUGAGUGCAUGGUCUGGGAUUAAGGUGAUUGAGUUUUGAAGGAGGCUUUAGGUUUAGAGUUGGAGUAUUUUGCCUAAAAAAUAGUCUCCGAUUUUAUAUUAUCGAUCCAUAAAAAUUUUCAUAUCGUCAUCUGCCUCAUGAUGAUAAUACAAUGUUUUUUUUCGUUAGUAGAAAAAUUUUAGUAUCAUGAUCAUUUUGUUUUAAAGGAUAUACAUUCUAUGGAUUAAAUAUAACCUAACCUUAGGUUGUUGUUGGGUAUUAAUUGUGAGACUUUGUAUUUAGAUGCGUCUUGAUUUGAAGUUAAUAUAAUUUGAUACUAUGUUUUAUGUAA